rnacentral:rRNA from 1 species
CUUUACCAUGCAAGUCGAACGGUAACAGGGAGCUUGCUCCGCUGACGAGUGGCGAACGGGUGAGUAAUAUAUCGGAACGUACCCAGAAGUGGGGGAUAACGUAGCGAAAGUUACGCUAAUACCGCAUACGAUCCACGGAUGAAAGUAGGGGACCUUCGGGCCUUAUGCUUUUGGAGCGGCCGAUAUCUGAUUAGCUAGUUGGUGAGGUAAAGGCNNACCAAGGCGACGAUCAGUAGCUGGUCUGAGAGGACGACCAGCCACACUGGAACUGAGACACGGUCCAGACUCCUACGGGAGGCAGCAGUGGGGAAUUUUGGACAAUGGGCGCAAGCCUGAUCCAGCAAUGCCGCGUGAGUGAAGAAGGCCUUCGGGUUGUAAAGCUCUUUUGUCAGGGAAGAAACGGCUGUGGCUAAUAUCCAUGGCUAAUGACGGUACCUGAAGAAUAAGCACCGGCUAACUACGUGCCAGCAGCCGCGGUAAUACGUAGGGUGCAAGCGUUAAUCGGAAUUACUGGGCGUAAAGCGUGCGCAGGCGGUUUUGUAAGUCUGACGUGAAAUCCCCGGGCUCAACCUGGGAAUUGCGUUGGAGACUGCAAGGCUAGAAUCUGGCAGAGGGGGGUAGAAUUCCACGUGUAGCAGUGAAAUGCGUAGAGAUGUGGAGGAACACCGAUGGCGAAGGCAGCCCCCUGGGUCAAGAUUGACGCUCAUGCACGAAAGCGUGGGGAGCAAACAGGAUUAGAUACCCUGGUAGUCCACGCCCUAAACGAUGUCUACUAGUUGUCGGGUUUUAAUUAACUUGGUAACGCAGCUAACGCGUGAAGUAGACCGCCUGGGGAGUACGGUCGCAAGAUUAAAACUCAAAGGAAUUGACGGGGACCCGCACAAGCGGUGGAUGAUGUGGAUUAAUUCGAUGCAACGCGAAAAACCUUACCUACCCUUGACUUGUCAGGAAUACCGAAGAGAUUUGGUUGUGCCCGAAAGGAACCUGAACACAGGUGCUGCUGGCUGUCGCCGCUCGUGUCGGA